CAGAGCUGUUUGCAUUACACAGAUUGAACUGGAAAAAAUACCGUCUGCUGAAAGCUAGUUGUACUUUUGAUGCAGAAGAUGAAAAAAAGAGGGAAAAAGGCAACUCUGCCCACUUUGGAAGAAAACUGGUCAGGGAUGUCCCAGGCAUCCCUUAUCAAGACCAGAUGAUUUAUCUCAUGAGGAGAAUGUUGUUUAUCGUUCUCUGAGGGGAAAUUCAGCCUGGCUGCUGGAAAGAUGCUUCUGAGAUGAUGAGACAAAGCUGGAACACCAAAACCACACAGUCUGAAUCACACGUCCCUUAAGAUCCGCUGUAGGGUACCUGUGUCUCUGAAAGUCCGGUCAGAUGGGACACGGCUUCAAUGCAGAGACGGCCUCGGCUGAAUGGGAAUGUAACAAAGAGCAACCCUUACAGUACACAGCAACUGAACCGGUCCUCCUAGGAACCUCUUCCUCCAAGACCUUGAUACUCACUGUAGAUCCAUCUAUUCAUUUAUCCAGUGACCUCUGUUCAUCCACCCUGUGGGUUCAGGAGAUUAAAGCCAAUGAGGGAAACUCAGACAUCCCUUUAUCAAGUGACGCUUUCCCAGGAAAGUUCUGGGUCUGCCCCAGCAUCUCUAUCCAGUGGGAUGUCCAUUAUCCCUUCCACAGAGAGGGUCCCAGAAGGUCCCCUGAUGAGAUGAACCUCCUCAGCUGACUCCAUCUGAGAUGUAGGAGGGGUAGCUUUACUCUGAGCUUCUCCUGGUAAAUGGAAACCCUCUGGUCAACCUAGCGAAGAUCAAUCUGGGAUAUCAUUCUCUCAUAAUCCAUGUUUCACAAGGUGAGCGUUUGGAACAUAGACGGACCAGUAAAAUUGGGUUCUUCACCUUCAAGGUCAGCAACUUCUUCACCACAACAGGCUGAAGCAAAGUCCUCAUGGCUGCAGAUGAGGCACCAAUCCAUCUUUUGAUCUACUGGGACUUUGUGCUACUGCAGAAGAUCAAGAUACUGAAAAGGACCAGCAGGAAGCAGAAAUAAUCCUGGGCAAACUUAAUUUCUGAAAAUUUUAAAACUAUUUUUUUCUUCUAUUAGAAAAUGAGUCCAAAGUGAUGAAUUUUCAGGAGAUUUCUGUCCUUUUCUGACAGUAACGAAUAAAGUAGAUAUAUAGUGUCUUCUAAGAGUAUUCAGACCACUGGAACAUUUCACCACAACCACAAAGAUCACACGUAUUUCAUUAGGACUGGUUGGAUAUUUGGUGGACUGACCCAAUGGCUACCGGAGAUAGGCACCAGAGACAGCUACACCAGGAACAUCACUUCUACACUGGGUUAUGUUUCAUUCUGUUCUCAGCUGCUAUGUUCUCAUGCUGCGAGACCUUUGUAACAUCUUGGUGAGACACUGAGAUGGCCAAAAACUGGUUAUGUUUAGAGAUGAGCUAUGAGUAGCACCACAUCAGAACCACAUGAAAGAACCAGGAGCCGCCUGGGCUGAUGAGCUAUGAAGGAACAUCUCAAGAUCUUAUUUUUCUUCCAAGCAGCCAGACUUUCUGCCAAUCUUAUAAAACAGUCUUGAUCAAUUGUUCUUCACGCUUUUUGAAUUUAUUUGGCAGCUUUUUCCUUCAUUUUCACUUAACUCUGACCUCUGAAUCAUCCAGACUGAAAUUGCUCCUAAAAUCAAUGGAUGAACUAAUAUUGUGUGUCAAAAUAUAACAGACAACUCCGCAAAGAACCAGUUUUAAAGUGAAUCUUGAGGCUCUUUGUUACAAGCAGCCUCUCACAAAUUCCCAUUAAAUCUGUGAAAAAUC